ncrna:unclassified sequences c-di-GMP-II-GAG riboswitch
CGACACGCGGGAGGCAUCGAGGUGUGACCCCAACCCCGGUCGCCGGGAUCAUGCCGAGCCACUGGCGAGACCGACCCGCGUGUAU